GAAAUGCGAUAAGUAAUGUGAAUUGCAGAAUUCCGUGAAUCAUCGAAUCUUUGAACGCACAUUGCGCCCUCUGGUAUUCCGGGGGGCAUGCCUGUCCGAGCGUCAUUGCGAACCCCUCAAGCACGGCUUGUGUGAUGGGCCCUCCCGCGUCUUGGUCGUCAAGACGGGCCCGAAAUGCAGUGGCGGCUUCGCGGUUAUCCGAUCAACCAGAGCGUAUGGGGACUUUCUCUCUGUCACACGCCCGCGGCGCGGACCGACGCCUGUCGACCUUCAUUCAUCGUUUUCUCGGUUGACCUCGGAUCAGGUAGGGAUACCCGCUGAACUUAAGC
rnacentral:misc_RNA from 1 species